rnacentral:rRNA from 1 species
GGUUAAGCGACUAAGCGUACACGGUGGAUGCCCUGGCAGUCAGAGGCGAUGAAGGACGUGCUAAUCUGCGAUAAGCGUCGGUAAGGUGAUAUGAACCGUUAUAACCGGCGAUUUCCGAAUGGGGAAACCCAGUGUGUUUCGACACACUAUCAUUAACUGAAUCCAUAGGUUAAUGAGGCGAACCGGGGGAACUGAAACAUCUAAGUACCCCGAGGAAAAGAAAUCAACCGAGAUUCCCCCAGUAGCGGCGAGCGAACGGGGAGCAGCCCAGAGCCUGAAUCAGUAUGUGUGUUAGUGGAAGCGUCUGGAAAGGCGCGCGAUACAGGGUGACAGCCCCGUACACAAAAAUGCACAUAUUGUGAGCUCGAUGAGUAGGGCGGGACACGUGGUAUCCUGUCUGAAUAUGGGGGGACCAUCCUCCAAGGCUAAAUACUCCUGACUGACCGAUAGUGAACCAGUACCGUGAGGGAAAGGCGAAAAGAAC